ensembl:lncRNA
GCUCCCCCAGAUUGGGUUGGUCAGUGUAUGCAGGGGCUGUGAAGCUGAGGGCCACCAGUUGCAGAGCAGUGCCCAUGGCCUGAGAGUGGUCCAGAACAAGGACGAAAACCACAACCUCCGGAGCAGCCAGAGCAGGCACUGAACACCAGGAAACUGAUGUCACUUCUACACAGGACCAGACCCAGGCUGGCGUGAGACCUGGUGCUGUAUUACUCUUUGCUUUUGGAUCCCCUUCAGCUGCGUUGCUCAGAGAGGGCAGACGGGUGGAAGAUUAUUUAC